rnacentral:rRNA from 1 species
AUUCCUACGGGAGGCAGCAGUAGGGAAUCUUCCGCAAUGGACGAAAGUCUGACGGAGCAACGCCGCGUGAGUGAUGAAGGUUCUCGGAUCGUAAAGCUCUGUUGUUAGGGAAGAACAAGUACCGUUCGAAUAGGGCGGUACCUUGACGGUACCUAACCAGAAAGCCACGGCUAACUACGUGCCAGCAGCCGCGGUAAU